rnacentral:rRNA from 1 species
GAUGAACGCUGGCGGCGUGCCUAAUACAUGCAGGUCGAGCGAACAGACGAGGAGCUUGCUCCUCUGACGUUAGCGGCGGACGGGUGAGUAACACGUGGAUAACCUACCUAUAAGACUGGGAUAACUUCGGGAAACCGGAGCUAAUACCGGAUAAUAUAUUGAACCGCAUGGUUCAAUAGUGAAAGACGGUUUUGCUGUCACUUAUAGAUGGAUCCGCGCCGCAUUAGCUAGUUGGUAAGGUAACGGCUUACCAAGGCAACGAUGCGUAGCCGACCUGAGAGGGUGAUCGGCCACACUGGAACUGAGACACGGUCCAGACUCCUACGGGAGGCAGCAGUAGGGAAUCUUCCGCAAUGGGCGAAAGCCUGACGGAGCAACGCCGCGUGAGUGAUGAAGGUCUUCGGAUCGUAAAACUCUGUUAUUAGGGAAGAACAAAUGUGUAAGAAACUAUGCACGUCUUGACGGUACCUAAUCAGAAAGCCACGGCUAACUACGUG